GCUUUUGAAAGAUGGUUUCGGCUAUCGCUUACAGAUGGGCCCGCGGUGCAUUAGCUAGUUGGUAGGGUAAUGGCCUACCAAGGCAACGAUGCAUAGCCGACCGGAGAGGGUGAUCGGCCACACUGGGACUGAGACACGGCCCAGACUCCUACGGGAGGCAGCAGUAGGGAAUCUUCCGCAAUGGACGAAAGUCUGACGGAGCAACGCCGCGUGUAUGAAGAAGGUUUUCG
rnacentral:rRNA from 1 species